CUGGUUUCUCACAUCUUUUCCGUUUUCUUCCAUUUUCUCUCCGUUCAUGAAGAACUAAGCAUCUAAAGGAGGAAGUUUUAAGAACAUACAAGAGUUUUUUAAGGUGGAGAUUUUAACGGAAAGGUAAGUUGAAUUUAGGAUUUCUCUAAUUAACUCUGUUUUUGUGUGAAACUGAUUUAUAGAUUGUUGAGUUGGUGAUGGGUUUUCUUUUAAUUGAAGCUUGGGUUAUGUAUAGGGUUUAAUUUCAGUUUCUAUUAUGAAUCAAUUGGGAAUUAGGGUUCAUCCCAUAUUAGGUUUUUGAUUUAUAAACACCCUAUCACGUUAUAGCAACGUCUCUACAGAGCGACAUGGGUUCUUUAAAUGCAGUUUUUGGUUACUACAGUUUUCUCUAAUGACUGCAGAGUGUACUCUUUGGGUUUACAAAGUGCAGUUUUGGGUCUA